CGUACACUCCUGCGGGAGGCAGCAGUGGGGAAUAUUGCACAAUGGGCGCAAGCCUGAUGCAGCCAUGCCGCGUGUAUGAAGAAGGCCUUCGGGUUGUAAAGUACUUUCAGCGGGGAGGAAGGCGAUAAGGUUAAUAACCUUGUUGAUUGACGUUACCCGCAGAAGAAGCACCGGCUAACUCCGUGCCAGCAGCCGCGGUAAUACGGAGGGUGCAAGCGUUAAUCGGAAUUACUGGGCGUAAAGCGCACGCAGGCGGUCUGUCAAGUCGGAUGUGAAAUCCCCGGGCUCAACCUGGGAACUGCAUUCGAAACUGGCAGGCUAGAGUCUUGUAGAGGGGGGUAGAAUUCCAGGUGUAGCGGUGAAAUGCGUAGAGAUCUGGAGGAAUACCGGUGGCGAAGGCGGCCCCCUGGACAAAGACUGACGCUCAGGUGCGAAAGCGUGGGGAGCAAACAGGAUUAGAUACCCUAGUAGUCCCA
rnacentral:rRNA from 1 species